rnacentral:rRNA from 1 species
UGCCAUCCGCCGCGGUAAUACGGAGGGUGCAAGCGUUAAUCGGAAUUACUGGGCGUAAAGCGCACGUAGGCGGACUAUUAAGUCAGGGGUGAAAUCCCGGGGCUCAACUCCGGAACUGCCUUUGAUACUGGUAGUCUUGAGUUCGAGAGAGGUGAGUGGAAUUCCGAGUGUAGAGGUGAAAUUCGUAGAUAUUCGGAGGAACACCAGUGGCGAAGGCGGCUAACUGGCUCGGUACUGACGCUGAGAUGCGAAAGCGUGGGGAGCAAACAGGAUUAGAUA